rnacentral:rRNA from 1 species
CCCACCACCAAAGCAUUCUCUGGUGUUGAAGGCCCUGCAAAGCAGCAUCGCGGUGGCGGAGCGUCGUUUGCGACGCCCAACACACAAAACAAGCGGUGAGUGCUUUGGGGUGGGGUGACUGCGUACCUUUUGUAUAAUGGGUCAGCGACUUAUAUUCUGUAGCAAGGUUAACCGUAUAGGGGAGCCGAAGGGAAACCGAGUCUUAACUGGGCGUUAAGUUGCAGGGUAUAGACCCGAAACCCGGUGAUCUAGCCAUGGGCAGGUUGAAGGUUGGGUAACACUAACUGGAGGACCGAACCGACUAAUGUUGAAAAAUUAGCGGAUGACUUGUGGCUGGGGGUGAAAGGCCAAUCAAACCGGGAGAUAGCUGGUUCUCCCCGAAAGCUAUUUAGGUAGCGCCUCGUGAACUCAUCUUCGGGGGUAGAGCACUGUUUCGGCUAGGGGGUCAUCCCGACUUACCAACCCGAUGCAAACUGCGAAUACCGAAGAAUGUUAUCACGGGAGACACACGGCGGGUGCUAACGUCCGUCGUGAAGAGGGAAACAACCCAGACCGCCAGCUAAGGUCCCAAAGUCACAGUUAAGUGGGAAACGAUGUGGGAAGGCUCAGACAGCCAGGAUGUUGGCUUAGAAGCAGCCAUCAUUUAAAGAAAGCGUAAUAGCUCACUGGUCGAGUCGGCCUGCGCGGAAGAUGUAACGGGGCUAAACUGUGCACCGAAGCUGCGGCAGCGACGCUUAUGCGUUGUUGGGUAGGGGAGCGUUCUGUAAGCCUGCGAAGGUGUCCUGUGAGGGAUGCUGGAGGUAUCAGAAGUGCGAAUGCUGACAUAAGUAACGAUAAUGCGGGUGAAAAGCCCGCUCGCCGGAAGACCAAGGGUUCCUGUCCAACGUUAAUCGGGGCAGGGUGAGUCGACCCCUAAGGCGAGGCCGAAAGGCGUAGUCGAUGGGAAACGGGUUAAUAUUCCCGUACUUGGUGUUACUGCGAAGGGGGGACGGAGAAGGCUAUGUUGGCCGGGCGACGGUUGUCCCGGUUUAAGCGUGUAGGCUGGUUUUCCAGGCAAAUCCG